UACAGAGGGGGCAAGCGUUAUUCGGAAUUAUUGGGCGUAAAGGGCGCGUAGGCGGCUUUGCAAGUGACGGGUGAAAUCCCUCGGCUUAACCGAGGAACUGCCUGUCAAACUGCAUGGCUUGAGACCGGGAGAGGUGAGUGGAAUUCCCAGUGUAGCGGUGAAAUGCGUAGAUAUUGGGAGGAACACCAGUGGCGAAGGCGGCUCACUGGACCGGUACUGACGCUGAGGAGCGAAAGCCAGGGGAGCAAACGGG
rnacentral:rRNA from 1 species